GACGAACGCUGGCGGCGUGCUUAACACAUGCAAGUCGAACGGGUCUGCCCUGUUUUUUGCGCUGUGUGUCAUUGGCCAACGGGUGAGUAACCCUUUACUAACCUUCCCCUCACUUCUGGAUAACCGCUUUCAAUUGUGUCUAAUACUGGGUGUUCUUGCUGUGCCGCAUGGUGUUUCUGUUAAAUAUUCCUUUUUGUGUUGUUUUGGUGGUUGAUGUGCUCGCGGCGUAUCAGCUUGUUGGGGGUGUGAUGGCCUGCCAAGGCUUUGACGUGUAGCCGGCAUGAGAGGGUGGGCGGUCACAACGGGAAUGGGAUACGGCCGAGACUCCUGCGGGAGGCAGCAGUGGGGGGUAGAGCACAAUGGGCGGAAGAAUGAUGCAGCGACGUCGCGGGAGGGAUGGAGGCCUGCGGGUUGUGAAAAUCUUUCGGCGGUGAAGAAGGUCCUGCUAUUUGUGGUGGGGUUGACGGUAGCCGGGUUAUGAAGCGCCGGCUAACUACGUG
rnacentral:rRNA from 1 species